UACGUAGGGGGCAAGCGUUGCCCGGAUUUAUUGGGCGUAAAGAGCGUGUAGGCGGCCAGACAGGUCCGUUGUGAAAACUAGAGGCUUAACCUCUAGACGUCGAUGGAAACCGUCUGGCUAGAGUCCGGAAGAGGAGAAUGGAAUUCCUGGUGUAGCGGUGAAAUGCGCAGAUAUCAGGAAGAACACCCGUGGCUAAGGCGGUUCUCUAGUACGGUACUGACGCUGAGACGCGAAAGCGUGGGGAGCGAACAGG
rnacentral:rRNA from 1 species